rnacentral:rRNA from 1 species
GAUGAACGCUGGCGGCGUGCCUAAUACAUGCAAGUCGAGCGAACGGACGAGAAGCUUGCUUCUCUGAUGUUAGCGGCGGACGGGUGAGUAACACGUGGAUAACCUACCUAUAAGACUGGGAUAACUUCGGGAAACCGGAGCUAAUACCGGAUAAUAUUUUGAACCGCAUGGUUCAAAAGUGAAAGACGGUCUUGCUGUCACUUAUAGAUGGAUCCGCGCUGCAUUAGCUAGUUGGUAAGGUAACGGCUUACCAAGGCAACGAUGCAUAGCCGACCUGAGAGGGUGAUCGGCCACACUGGAACUGAGACACGGUCCAAACUCCUACGGGAGGCAGCAGUAGGGAAUCUUCCGCAAUGGGCGAAAGCCUGACGGAGCAACCCCGCGUGAGUGAUGAAGGUCUUCGGAUCGUAAAACUCUGUUAUUAGGGAAGAACAUAUAUGUAAGUAACUGUGCACAUCUUGACGGUACCUAAUCAGAAAGCCACGGCUAACUACGUGCCAGCAGCCGCGGUAAUACGUAGGUGGCAAGCGUUAUCCGGAAUUAUUGGGCGUAAAGCGCGCGUAGGCGGUUUUUUAAGUCUGAUGUGAAAGCCCACGGCUCAACCGUGGAGGGUCAUUGGAAACUGGAAAACUUGAGUGCAGAAGAGGAAAGUGGAAUUCCAUGUGUAGCGGUGAAAUGCGCAGAGAUAUGGAGGAACACCAGUGGCGAAGGCGACUUUCUGGUCUGUAACUGACGCUGAUGUGCGAAAGCGUGGGGAUCAAACAGGAUUAGAUACCCUGGUAGUCCACGCCGUAAACGAUGAGUGCUAAGUGUUAGGGGGUUUCCGCCCCUUAGUGCUGCAGCUAACGCAUUAAGCACUCCGCCUGGGGAGUACGACCGCAAGGUUGAAACUCAAAGGAAUUGACGGGGACCCGCACAAGCGGUGGAGCAUGUGGUUUAAUUCGAAGCAACGCGAAGAACCUUACCAAAUCUUGACAUCCUUUGACAACUCUAGAGAUAGAGCUUUCCCCUUCGGGGGACAAAGUGACAGGUGGUGCAUGGUUGUCGUCAGCUCGUGUCGUGAGAUGUUGGGUUAAGUCCCGCAACGAGCGCAACCCUUAAGCUUAGUUGCCAUCAUUAAGUUGGGCACUCUAAGUUGACUGCCGGUGACAAACCGGAGGAAGGUGGGGAUGACGUCAAAUCAUCAUGCCCCUUAUGAUUUGGGCUACACACGUGCUACAAUGGACAAUACAAAGGGCAGCGAAACCGCGAGGUCAAGCAAAUCCCAUAAAGUUGUUCUCAGUUCGGAUUGUAGUCUGCAACUCGACUACAUGAAGCUGGAAUCGCUAGUAAUCGUAGAUCAGCAUGCUACGGUGAAUACGUUCCCGGGUCU